CGGGACACGUGGUAUCCUGUCUGAAUAUGGGGGGACCAUCCUCCAAGGCUAAAUACUCCUGACUGACCGAUAGUGAACCAGUACCGUGAGGGAAAGGCGAAAAGAACCCCGGCGAGGGGAGUGAAAAAGAACCUGAAACCGUGUACGUACAAGCAGUGGGAGCACAGAGCAAUCUGUGUGACUGCGUACCUUUUGUAUAAUGGGUCAGCGACUUAUAUUCUGUAGCAAGGUUAACCGAAUAGGGGAGCCGAAGGGAAACCGAGUCUUAACUGGGCGUUAAGUUGCAGGGUAUAGACCCGAAACCCGGUGAUCUAGCCAUGGGCAGGUUGAAGGUUGGGUAACACUAACUGGAGGACCGAACCGACUAAUGUUGAAAAAUUAGCGGAUGACUUGUGGCUGGGGGUGAAAGGCCAAUCAAACCGGGAGAUAGCUGGUUCUCCCCGAAAGCUAUUUAGGUAGCGCCUCGUGAAUUCAUCUCCGGGGGUAGAGCACUGUUUCGGCAAGGGGGUCAUCCCGACUUACCAACCCGAUGCAAACU
rnacentral:rRNA from 1 species